CAAAGAUUAAGCCAUGCAUGUCUAAGUAUAAGCAAUUAUACAGCGAAACUGCGAAUGGCUCAUUAUAUAAGUUAUCGUUUAUUUGAUAGUACCUUACUACUUGGAUAACCGUGGUAAUUCUAGAGCUAAUACAUGCUAAAAAUCCCGACUUCGGAAGGGAUGUAUUUAUUAGAUUAAAAGCCAAUGCCCUCCGGGGCUCACUGGUGAUUCAUGAUAACUUCUCGAAUCGCACGGCCUUGCGCCGGCGAUGGUUCAUUCAAAUUUCUUCCCUAUCAACUUUCGAUGUUUGGGUAGUGGCCAAACAUGGUGGCAACGGGUAACGGAGGGUUAGGGCUCGACCCCGGAGAGGGAGCCUGAGAAACGGUAAAUUUUCUGCUCCUACUAUUCCGAACCACUGCUAACGUCCCCAGGCUACCACAUCCAAGGAAGGCAGCAGGCGCGCAAAUUACCCAAUCCCGACUCGGGGAGGUGAGUUUUCUUUACCUCUGACAGCGGGGCACGGCCACUAACUCGGAGCAGGUAGUGACAAUACAUACUGAUACAGGGCUCUUUUGGGUCUUGUAAUCGGAAUGAGUACAAUUUAAAUCCCUUAACGAGGAACAAUUGGAGGGCAAGUCUGGUGCCAGCAGCCGCGGUAAUUCCAGCUCCAAUAGCGUAUAUUAAAGUUGUUGUGGUUAAAAAGCUCGUAGUUGAACCUUGGCCCUGGCUGGCCGGUCCGCCUCACCGCGUGCACUGGUCCGGCCGGGGCUUUCCCUCUGUGGAACCCCAUGCCCUUCACUGGGUGUGGCGGGAAAACAGGACUUUUACUUUGAAAAAAUUAGAGUGCUCCAGGCAGGCCUUUGCUCGAAUACAUUAGCAUGGAAUAAUGAAAUAGGACGCGCGGUUCUAUUUUGUUGGUUUCUAGGACCGCCGUAAUGAUUAAUAGGGACAGUCGGGGGCAUCAGUAUUCAAUUGUCAGAGGUGAAAUUCUUGGAUUUAUUGAAGACUAACUACUGCGAAAGCAUUUGCCAAGGAUGUUUUCAUUAAUCAGGAACGAAAGUUAGGGGAUCGAAGACGAUCAGAUACCGUCGUAGUCUUAACCAUAAACUAUGCCGACUAGGGAUCGGGCGGUGUUAUUUUUUGACCCGCUCGGCACCUUACGAGAAAUCAAAGUGCUUGGGCUCCAGGGGGAGUAUGGUCGCAAGGCUGAAACUUAAAGAAAUUGACGGAAGGGCACCACCAGGUGUGGAGCCUGCGGCUUAAUUUGACUCAACACGGGGAAACUCACCAGGUCCAGACACAAUUAGGAUUGACAGAUUGAAGUUCUUUUAUGAUUUUGUGGGUGGUGGUGCAUGGCCGGUAAGCCUAUCGUCCCCUGGAAGCUGGGAAAUGCUAACCGUUUCCAGUUCUUAGUUGGUGAAGUGAUUUGUCGGCUUUAUUGCGAUAACGAACGAGACCGCGACUGCUAAAUAGCCCGCGCCGCCUCGGCGGCGUGCCGGCUUCUUAGCGGGACUCUCGGUGUAAUCCGAUGGAAGUACGCGUCAAUAACAGGUCUGUGAUGCCCUUCGAUGUUCUGGGCCGCACGGUAUGUUCCUACGCUCUCUACUGUUAAAUGUCUCGCUAACCCGUCGCAGCGCGCUACACUGACAGGCCCAGCGAGUUCUUCCUUGGCCGAAAGGUCCGGGUAAUCUUGUUAAAGCCUGUCGUGCUGGGGAUAGAGCAUUGCAAUUAUUGCUCUUCAACGAGGAAUACCUAGUAAGCGCAAGUCAUCAGCUUGCGUUGAUUACGUCCCUGCCCUUUGUACACACCGCCCGUCGCUACUACCGAUUGGAUGGCUUAGUGAGGCUUUCGGACUGGCCCAGGGAGGUGGGCAACCACCACCCAGGGCCGGAAAGU
rnacentral:rRNA from 1 species